ensembl:miRNA Gm24108 predicted gene, 24108
CCUGGACUUGCUUUGUAGACCAGGCUGGCCUUAAAUUCACAGAGAUCUGCCUGCCUCUGUGUCCCAAGUGCUUGUAU